rnacentral:tRNA from 1 species
GGAAGCUGUCGUCGAGCAAUUGCACGGCGCCGGCGUUCUCGGCGUCGGAGACGGCGGUGCGCACGACCUGGUUGCGCAAUUCGACCGGCUCCGC